CUCAGUUCGGAUUGUAGGCUGAAAUCGCCUACAUGAAGCUGGAAUUACUAGUAAUCGCAGAUCAGAAUGCUGCGGUGAAUGCGUUCCCGGGUCUUGUACACACCGCCGUCACACCACGGAAGUUGGGGGCGCCCGAAGCCACUUAGCUAACCCUUUUGGGAAGCGAGUGUCGAAGGUGAAAUCAAUAACUGGGGUGAAGUCGUAACAAGGUAGC
rnacentral:rRNA from 1 species